UCAAAUAAAGACAACAAAAACAAAACAAGAGGAAUAAAGGCAACAAAAUGUGAAUCUAAAAGAUUCAACUCCAAAAAAUCCCUAAAUCCAGCUCCCUCUCCAAGAAUCGAUUCUUCAAGUCCAUCUUAUCCAUCGCCUCUAUCCUGAAUCCAAUAUUCCAGAGCUGCAUCAACAAGCUUGAAGUUGCGAUGAGGAAGAAGUGAGCUUCCAUGGUGACUUUGAGCACAAGCUAUAAAUUUCUGAUCUGUCAUCCUCCCAUAGAGUAGACAGGGAGGUGACCCAGAUUCAUAGUAGCUGAUCAGUGGAUUUACAGGAGCACUCUAUUAUUCCGGAGGUGCUCGAACAUUGCAAAGGCAUGCAAUUUCUUUAGCUAUCUGUUCUCCAUGCUUCUCUCUUUCUCAAAGACCCUAGUAUUUCUUUCCCACCGAAUUGCUGCUAUAAACUCUGCGCAAACCAGUCGAAACAUUUUCGCCUGCAUAGUCUUUCCUUUAGUAACUUGUAGAAUAAUUUGGUAUUGUAGCAGCCAAGAAUGCACUGCUGGCCAUUGAACUUGUAGCCACUGCAUGAGUCUUUACCAUACUGAAUGGGCAAAAGUACACUCAAAGAAAAGAUGAUCUCUAGUAUCAUUGGCACUAUGACACAUUUGACAGGUAGGAUCCAAUUGUAUAUUCCAUUUGCUCAGCCUAUCUGCAGUAAGUAACCUGUUUUGAAUUUGCAACCACAUAAUGAAAAUAGUCUUAGACCUGGCUGCAUUCUAAAACACUAAAUUCCUCCAUGGAACUUUAGGAUAAUCACCAAUCAACUGAAGAUAUCAGUGUUUGAUCAUGCUUCUUGUUGUAAU